UACGUAGGGUGCAAGCGUUGUCCGGAAUUAUUGGGCGUAAAGAGCUCGUAGGCGGUCUGUCGCGUCGAAUGUGAAAACCCGGGGCUCAACCCCGGGCCUGCAUUCGAUACGGGCAGACUAGAGUUCGGUAGGGGAGUCUGGAAUUCCUGGUGUAGCGGUGAAAUGCGCAGAUAUCAGGAGGAACACCGGUGGCGAAGGCGG
rnacentral:rRNA from 1 species